rnacentral:rRNA from 1 species
CCUACGGGAGGCAGCAGUGAGGAAUAUUGGUCAAUGGGCUUACGCCUGAACCAGCCAAGUCGCGUGAGGGAAGACUGCCCUAUGGGUUGUAAACCUCUUUUGUCAGGGAGCAAUUGGCGCUACGUGUAGCGUUAUCGAGAGUACCUGAAGAAAAAGCAUCGGCUAACUCCGUGGCAGCAGCCGCGGUAAUACGGAGGAUGCGAGCGUUAUCCGGAUUUAUUGGGUUUAAAGGGUGCGUAGGCGGAAUGCCAAGUCAGCGGUAAAAUCGCGGGGCUCAACCUCGCUCCGCCGUUGAAACUGGCGUUCUUGAGUGGGCGAGAAGUAUGCGGAAUGCGUGGUGUAGCGGUGAAAUGCAUAGAUAUCACGCAGAACUCCGAUUGCGAAGGCAGCAUACCGGCGCCCAACUGACGCUGAAGCACGAAAGCGUGGGUAUCGAACAGGAUUAGAUACCCUGGUAGUC